UGACAAUUUAAGAGGCAGGCGCGGGACAGAAAUGCAGUAGUCAGACGGUGCAAUAGGAAUGUUUACUUUGUGGAAUGAGCACUCCCAAAUAGUGUCAAUCACAUUCGCAAUACAAAUUUUUUGUCAGAAAUAUUUUUGUUUGAUCUAUCGUUUGCUACGGCAAGCAGGGGCAGAGAAAAAUGCCAACUAAGAUCGUUGGCUGCCUAAAGAAUCUGUUACCAUAACCGGACCCAUGGAACGGAGUACAGUAACAACAGGGCCUGGUGAACUCAGAACCGCCAUAAAAUUUUCAAACGUUGGAUGAAAUCGUACCUUGCGAACCAUUUCGCAGGACACUGUAGUGGUGUCCUCGGGAACGCUUAAACAAAGAAAGGCAAUAAUGAAAAGAAUUAUUGCUUGAUUUCCCAAACUCCUUGCUACAAUAUAGGUUUCAUAACGAAGGAAAUACCUCAAGGAGUUCAAAUUCCAAUGUUGAAUUCGACCUCCUAAUGCGGUAAUGAUAUAAGUUGGAUUGCAGGAGGACCAAUCAGCAUCUAGAGCUGGAUCCUGACAAGUGAAAUUGUUGCUCAAAGAAGUGACUGGUGAAAAAUUCAUUGUACUGAAGAGUGUAGUCACUCCUGAUUUUUCAAUGACAAAAAAUUUGCUAGGCUCUGAAGGAUUGAACCUCACAGCCAUUCCUACAAUACCACUUUCUAGAUUAAUACUUGGGACUACUUCAAGUUUAUCAGUUGCACUAUGAAAUCACCUGAUGAUUGAAGAGGGAUAGUUUUCAAAAGAUCUCCAUUCUCCACAGACCAAAUCUUACAGGUGAAAUCAUCAGAUGUAGAAAUUAAAAACUUGUCAUCUAUAUCUGGUUGAAAAGCUAUGCAAUUGACAUUAUCAGUAUGGCCACUUAGCUCCUUUGAAAGAAAAAAUUAUCAUAAGGAGCCUAUAUAAACUACAUGUGAGCAAAUAUACUAAAAUGUUUUCAGACUGAGCAAGAUCACUGCUAUAUAUCCGGAUUUUUCCAUCAAUACCAGCUGUAGCAAACUUGCAGACUUUUGGAACCGUAUCACUAGAUGAAAGUGCGCUCCAACUUAAGGUAAUAACCGGACAGAGAUGGUGGAAUUCACGAAUGACAUUGAACUGAAUUUCAUCCUGUAAGCAUGUCAAUUGACAUGCAAUGAGUAAAUACAUAUUGAUAUCACAUUU
rnacentral:lncRNA from 1 species